rnacentral:rRNA from 1 species
CUUUGUUUCGGAUCUCAGAUCAAGCAAGAGGACCCGCUGA